rnacentral:rRNA from 1 species
UAAAAAAAGGUAAGCUACUAAGAGCGAAUGGUGGAUGCCUUGACUGGUAAAGGCGAUGAAGGACGUACUAGACUGCGAUAAGCUACGGGGAGCUGUCAAGAAGCUUUGAUCCGUAGAUUUCCGAAUGGGGCAACCCAAUGUAUAGAGAUAUACAUUACCUAUAUAGGAGCGAACGAGGGGAAUUGAAACAUCUUAGUACCCUCAGGAAAAGAAAUCAAUAGAGAUUGCGUCAGUAGCGGCGAGCGAAAGCGCAAGAGGGCAAACCCAGUGCUUGCACUGGGGGUUGUAGGACUGCAAUGUGCAAGAGCUGAGUUUAGCAGAACAUUCUGGAAAGUAUAGCCAUAGAGGGUGAUAGUCCCGUAUGCGAAAAACAAAGCUUAGCUAGCAGUAUCCUGAGUAGGGCGGGACACGAGGAAUCCUGUCUGAAUCCGGGUCGACCACGAUCCAACCCUAAAUACUAAUACCAGAUCGAUAGUGCACAAGUACCGUGAGGGAAAGGUGAAAAGAACUGAGGUGAUCAGAGUGAAAUAGAACCUGAAACCAUUUGCUUACAAUCAUUCAGAGCACUAUGUAGCAAUACAGUGUGAUGGACUGCCUUUUGCAUAAUGAGCCUGCGAGUUGUGGUGUCUGGCAAGGUUAAGCAAACGCGAAGCCGUAGCGAAAGCGAGUCUGAAUAGGGCGCUUAGUCAGAUGCUGCAGACCCGAAACGAAGUGAUCUAUCCAUGAGCAAGUUGAAGCUAGUGUAAGAACUAGUGGAGGACUGAACCCAUAGGCGUUGAAAAGCCCCGGGAUGACUUGUGGAUAGGGGUGAAAGGCCAAUCAAACUUCGUGAUAGCUGGUUCUCUCCGAAAUAUAUUUAGGUAUAGCGUUGUGUCGUAAUAUAAGGGGGUAGAGCACUGAAUGGGCUAGGGCAUACACCAAUGUACCAAACCCUAUCAAACUCCGAAUACCUUAUAUGUAAUCACAGCAGUCAGGCGGCGAGUGAUAAAAUCCGUCGUCAAGAGGGAAACAACCCAGACUACCAGCUAAGGUCCCUAAAUCUUACUUAAGUGGAAAACGAUGUGAAGUUACUUAAACAACCAGGAGGUUGGCUUAGAAGCAGCCAUCCUUUAAAGAAAGCGUAAUAGCUCACUGGUCUAGUGAUUUUGCGCGGAAAAUAUAACGGGGCUAAAGUAAGUACCGAAGCUGUAGACUUGCACACAACUUAGAUUAUUUAAGUUUAGAAUAUGAGAAACUAAGUUAUAUGUUUAGUUAUAUUUUUACUGAUUUUUAUAGAGUAAAGAUAGAAAUAAAACUUAAUAAAAUCAGUAAAAAUAUUCUUAGGCUAAAGUUAAGUAGUUUAAGUUGUGUGCAAGUGGUAGGAGAGCGUUCUAUUUGCGUCGAAGGUAUACCGGUAAGGAGUGCUGGAGCGAAUAGAAGUGAGCAUGCAGGCAUGAGUAGCGAUAAUUAAUGUGAGAAUCAUUAACGCCGUAAACCCAAGGUUUCCUACGCGAUGCUCGUCAUCGUAGGGUUAGUCGGGUCCUAAGUCGAGUCCGAAAGGGGUAGACGAUGGCAAAUUGGUUAAUAUUCCAAUACCAACAUUAGUGUGCGAUGGAAGGACGCUUAGGGCUAAGGGGGCUAGCGGAUGGAAGUGCUAGUCUAAGGUUGUAGGAGGUUAUACAGGCAAAUCCGUAUAACAAUACUCCGAGAACUGAAAGGCUUUUUGAAGUCUUCGGAUGGAUAGAAGAACCCCUGAUGCCGUCGAGCCAAGAAAAGUUUCUAAGUUUAGCUAAUGUUGCCCGUACCGUAAACCGACACAGGUGGGUGGGAUGAGUAUUCUAAGGCGCGUGGAAGAACUCUCUUUAAGGAACUCUGCAAAAUAGCACCGUAUCUUCGGUAUAAGGUGUGGUUAGCUUCGUACUAGGAUUUACUCCGAAAGCGAAGAAACUUACAACAAAGAGUCCCUCCCGA